rnacentral:misc_RNA from 1 species
CACUCUGGUGCAUUUAGUUUUAGUAGUUCCAAAAUCGAUGGAGUGGGAGAAUGUUUUUGUAAAGGCAUACCAUCAUCUUUUGAUUGCAGCUCUCUUAUUGAGAUCGACUUAAAAUCCUGCUGGUUGUUUUGGCUGUGGGGAAGUUGUCGAAAGCUAGAAUUCCCCCAGAAGCUUCAGAACCACCUAUUGAAUUUGACCGUGUUGGAUGUUCUGAAACUUGCAAGCUCACAAGAGUUGCAUAGUCUCCUCCCU